rnacentral:rRNA from 1 species
UACGAAGGGGGCUAGCGUUGCUCGGAUUUACUGGGCGUAAAGCGCGCGUAGGCGGAUCGCUAAGUCAGGGGUGAAAUGCCGAGGCUCAACCUCGGAACUGCCUUUGAUACUGACGAUCUGGAGAUCGGGAGAGGUGAGUGGAAUUCCGAGUGUAGAGGUGAAAUUCGUAGAUAUUCGGAAGAACACCAGUGGCGAAGGCGACUCGCUGGACAGGUAUUGACGCUGAGGUGCGAAAGCGUGGGGAGCAAACAGG